UACCAGCACCCCGAGUGGUCGGGACGAUUAUUGGGCCUAAAGCAUCCGUAGCCGGCCUUACAAGUCCUCCGUUAAAUCCAGCUGCUUAACAGAUGGGCUGCGGAGGAUACUAUAAGACUAGGAGGCAGGAGAGGCAAGCGGUACUCAGUGGGUAGGGGUAAAAUCCGUUGAUCCAUUGAAGACCACCAGUGGCGAAGGCGGCUUGCCAGAAUGCGCUCGACGGUGAGGGAUGAAAGCUGGGGGAG
rnacentral:rRNA from 1 species